rnacentral:rRNA from 1 species
AUGUUCCGGCGCAGCGGCGGUGGCGGUGUCAGGGGCAAGACGGCGGCUGCGAGCACCAGCACGGGCACUGAGCUGCCCGUCGAUGGAGCUGUGCGGGUGACGAAAGUGGACAAGAUCCAGGCUUACAAUCUCGUCUCGAGGCCGUCGGUGCACCACGCCAUCGUGCCGGCGACGUCGGGGCCGGCGGAGAGCCUCGCCGUCAGUGUUGUCCGGGUGGUGGACGUCGUGGACGAAGCUGUGCGGGUGACCAAAGUGGACAGGAUCCAGGCUUACAAUCUCGUCUCCAGGCCGUCGGUGCACCACGCCAUCUCGCCGGCGACGUCAGGGCCGGCGGAGAGCCUGGCCGUGAGGGUAGUCCGGUUCGGGGACGUCGUGGACGAAGAAUCCGACGGCCUCAUCUCGGUGACCAUCACAUAG